rnacentral:rRNA from 1 species
UACGUAGGGGGCAAGCGUUGUCCGGAAUCAUUGGGCGUAAAGCGCGUGUAGGCGGUUCGGUAAGUCUGCUGUGAAAGUCCAGGGCUCAACCCUGGGAUGCCGGUGGAUACUGUCGGGCUAGAGUGCGGAAGAGGCGAGUGGAAUUCCCGGUGUAGCGGUGAAAUGCGCAGAUAUCGGGAGGAACACCAAUUGCGAAGGCAGCUCGCUGGGACGUAACUGACGCUGAGACGCGAAAGCGUGGGGGAGCAAACAGG